rnacentral:rRNA from 1 species
GAUGAACGCUGGCGGCGUGCCUAAUACAUGCAAGUCGAGCGAACGGACGAGAAGCUUGUUUCUCUGAUGUUAGCGGCGGACGGGCGAGUAACACGUGGAUAACCUACCUAUAAGACUGGGAUAACUUCGGGAAACCGGAGCUAAUACUGGAUAAUAUUUUGUACCGCAUGGUUCAAAAGUGAAUGACGGUCUUGCUGUCUCUUAUAGACGGAUCCGCGCUGCAUUAGCUAGUUGGUAAGGUAACGGCUUACCAAGGCAACGAUGCAUAGCCGACCUGAGAGGGUGAUCAGCCACACUGGAACUGAGACACGGUCCAGACUCCUACGGGAGGCAGCAGUAGGGAAUCUUCCACAAUGGGCGAAAGCCUGACGGAGCAACGCCGCGUGAGUGAUGAAGGUCUUCGGAUCGUAAAACUCUGUUAUUAGGAAAGAACAUAUGUGUGAUUAACUGUGCACAUCUUGACGGUACCUAAACAGAAAGCCACGGCUAACUACGUG